rnacentral:rRNA from 1 species
GCGUAAGCGCACGCAGGCGGUCUGUCAAGUCGGAUGUGAAAUCCCCGGGCUCAACCUGGGAACUGCAUUCGAAACUGGCAGGCUAGAGUCUUGUAGAGGGGGGUAGAAUUCCAGGUGUAGCGGUGAAAUGCGUAGAGAUCUGGAGGAAUACCGGUGGCGAAGGCGGCCCCCUGGACAAAGACUGACGCUCAGGUGCGAAAGCGUGGGGAGCAAACAGGAUUAGAUACCCUGGUAGUCCACGCCGUAAACGAUGUCGACUUGGAGGUUGUGCCCUUGAGGCGUGGCUUCCGGAGCUAACGCGUUAAGUCGACCGCCUGGGGAGUACGGCCGCAAGGUUAAAACUCAAAUGAAUUGACGGGGGCCCGCACAAGCGGUGGAGCAUGUGGUUUAAUUCGAUGCAACGCGAAGAACCUUACCUACUCUUGACAUCCAGAGAACUUUCCAGAGAUGGAUUGGUGCCUUCGGGAACUCUGAGACAGGUGCUGCAUGGCUGUCGUCAGCUCGUGUUGUGAAAUGUUGGGUUAAGUCCCGCAACGAGCGCAACCCUUAUCCUUUGUUGCCA